rnacentral:rRNA from 1 species
GACACCUGAAAUAAGCAAGAGUACCCGCUGAACUUAAGCAUAUCAGUAAGCGGAGGAAAAGAAAAUAACAAUGAUUACCUCAGUAGCGGCGAGUGAAGAGGUAAAAGCCCAAGAUGUAAAUCUGUAGCACAACUACGGAAUUGUAAUCUAUGGAGUAAUUCUGAAAGUCAAGGCAUGUCAUAAGUUCUUUGGAACAAGACACCAUAGAGGGUGAAAGUCCCGUCUUUGGAUAUGCCGAGGCAAUAAGAAAUAUUUCUAAGAGUCGGGUAGUUUGGGAAUGCUGCCCUAAUUGGGAGGUAAACUUCUCCUAAGGCUAAAUAUUUAUCAGAGACCGAUAGC